rnacentral:rRNA from 1 species
CAAGCGACUGUUUACCAAAAACAUAGGUUUCUGCUAAGUCGCAAGACGAUGUAUAGGAGCUGACGCCUGCCCGGUGCUGGAAGGUUAAGGGGAUCUGUUAGAGCAAUCGAAGCAGUGAACUUAAGCCCCAGUAAACGGCGGCCGUAACUAUAACGGUCCUAAGGUAGCGAAAUUCCUUGUCGGGUAAGUUCCGACCCGCACGAAAGGCGUAACGAUUUGGGCACUGUCUCAACAACAGACUCGGUGAAAUUGUAAUUCCGGUGAAGAUGCCGGAUACCUGCGACAGGACGGAAAGACCCCAUGGAGCUUUACUGUAGCUUGACAUUGGGUCUUGGUACUACAUGUACAGGAUAGGUGGGAGGCUUUGAAACCAGGACGCCAGUUUUGGCGGAGCCAUCCUUGGGAUACCACCCUUGUAGUACUGGGACUCUAACCAUAGGCCAUGAAUCUGGUCUUGGGACACUGUCAGGUGGGCAGUUUGACUGGGGCGGUCGCCUCCCAAAAGGUAACGGAGGCGCUCAAAGGUUCUCUCAGUACGGUCGGAAAUCGUACGUAGAGUGUAAAGGCAAAAGAGAGCUUGAUUGCAAGACAUACAGGUCGAGCAAGGAUGAAAAUCGGACUUAGUGAUCCGGUGGUUCUGCGUGGAAGGGCCAUCGCUCAACGGAUAAAAGCUACCCUGGGGAUAACAGGCUUAUCUCCCCCAAGAGUCCACAUCGACGGGGAGGUUUGGCACCUCGAUGUCGGCUCAUCACAUCCUGGGGCUGUAGUAGGUCCCAAGGGUUGGGCUGUUCGCCCAUUAAAGUGGUACGCGAGCUGGGUUCAGAACGUCGUGAGACAGUUCGGUCCCUAUCCGUCGCA